rnacentral:rRNA from 1 species
AUGUACCCUGUGGCUUGGGAUGUAGUUGAGCAGGAAACAAAUGAAUCUUGGAAGUGGUUUGUUGCCUUGCUCAUUAAAGUUCUGGAUAUCAACAACAAUGGAGAAGGCUGGGUGUUUAUUUCUGAUCAGCAGAAGGGCCUACUAAAUGCAGUGAAGGAUUAUCUUCCUGCUGCACAGCACAGGAUGUGUGCUAGACACAUAUAUGCUAACUGGAGGAAGAAACACAGAGAUCAUGAGUGGCAGAAGAAAUUUUGGGCAGUUGCCAAAGCUUCAAAUAGGCAAGACUUCAACUACUACAAAGCCAAGCUAGCACAGGAGACACCUGAAGGGGCUAAAGACAUAAUGAGAACAGAACCUGUUCAUUGGGCUAGGGCAUUUUUCCAGUGGGUUCAAACUGUGAAUCAGUAG